UGUGUACUCCCUCCGUUCCAAAAUACUUGACUUCCAUUUGUCCAAAAAUGGAUGUACCUAUAUACUAAAACAUAUCUAGAUACAUAUAUAUUUUGACAAAUAGAAGGCAUGUAUUGUGCAACGGAGGGAGUAGAAU
rnacentral:pre_miRNA from 1 species